GGUUGAUCCUGCCAGUAGUCAUAUGCUUGUCCCAAAGAUUAAGCCAUGCAUGUCCAAGUAUAAACAAGUCUAUACAGUGAAACUGCGAAUGGCUCAUUAUAUCAGUUAUAAUUUAUUUGAUAGUCUCUUACUACUCGGAUAACCGUGGUAAUUCUAGAGCUAAUACGUGCAGAAGGCCCGACAAGGGCUGUAUUUAUUAGAUAAAAAACCAAUGCCAGCGAUGGCUCCCGGUGAUUCAUAAUAACUUUGCGGAUCGUACGGCCUCGUGCUGACGACGUUUCAUUCAAAUUU
rnacentral:rRNA from 1 species